AACGAACGCUGGCGGCAGGCUUAACACAUGCAAGUCGAGCGCCCCGCAAGGGGAGCGGCCGACGGGUGAGUAACGCGUGGGAACGUACCUUUUGGUUCGGAACAACUCCGGGAAACUGGAGCUAAUACCGGAUAAGCCCUAACGGGGAAAGAUUUAUCGCCGAAAGAUCGGCCCGCGUCUGAUUAGCUAGUUGGUGAGGUAACGGCUCACCAAGGCGACGAUCAGUAGCUGGUCUGAGAGGAUGAUCAGCCACACUGGGACUGAGACACGGCCCAGACUCCUACGGGAGGCAGCAGUGGGGAAUAUUGGACAAGGGGCGCAAGCCUGAUACAGCCAUGCCGCGUGAGUGAUGAAGGCCUUAGGGUUGUAAAGCUCUUUUGUCCGGGAAGAUAAUGACUGUACCGGAAGAAUAAGCCCCGGCUAACUUCGUG
rnacentral:rRNA from 1 species